rnacentral:rRNA from 1 species
AGAUUGAACGCUGGCGGCAGGCCUAACACAUGCAAGUCGAGCGGCAGCACGGGUACUUGUACCUGGUGGCGAGCGGCGGACGGGUGAGUAAUGCCUAGGAAUCUGCCUGGUAGUGGGGGAUAACGCUCGGAAACGGACGCUAAUACCGCAUACGUCCUACGGGAGAAAGCAGGGGACCUUCGGGCCUUGCGCUAUCAGAUGAGCCUAGGUCGGAUUAGCUUAGUUGGUGGGGUAAUGGCUCACCAAGGCGACGAUCCGUAACUGGU